UGUCCACGUAUGCAUAAAAAAUCAACCAAUGAAAAACUGCGUUUUUGCCACGUCACACCUUUGUUCUGUCGACAAUACAAUACAGCUAAUUUGACAAAAUUGAAAGUGGCCCUGUAAAGAACAACCCAUCUAUUCCUCGAACAUUUUACCCUUCUACUCCGACUCUUCCAAUUCACUAUGUAACUACCCCUUUCGUGUUUCAAAAAAAAAAAAAACUACCCCUUUCAUAUUCUUUCUUUCUCUCCCGAGUCAUCUCUUUCUGAAACUCGAUCUGAUCACUGAGAAUCUACGACGACGAAGAAGGUGGAGGAGGAAGAGGAAGAAUGAGAAUCUCAGGCUAUGUAAUCGUUGUUCUAUCUGUAACUGUAUUCUAUUGCGUCGAUCGUAGCGUUCACGCGCGUCCCGUCGUCCUCGUCCUCUCCAUCGACGAUCUCAACAGCGGCGGCGACGAUCCCGGAGUCGGAGACUCCUCUAACUUCGACGAAUUCGGCGAAUCCGAACCCAAAUCCGAAGAGGAGCUCGAUCCUGGCUCGUGGCGACAGAACUUUCGAUAGGUUGACGGAGGAAGCGGUGGAGGAGAUAGAGGCGGCUUCUUCAUCCGGAGAUCCGCACUCGCAGUCGCUGAUGGGCUUCGUCUACGGGACGGGGAUGAUGAGGGAGAAAAGCAAAAGCAAAUUCUUCCUUCACCAUAACUUUGCUGCUGAAGGUGGGAACAUGCAGUCAAAGAUGACACUUGCCUUCACGUAUCUGCAACAAGAUAUGCAUGAUAAGGCUGUGAAACUAUAUGCUGAACUAGCAGAAACCGAUGUGAAUAGCUUCCUGAUCUCAAAGGACUCUCCCGUGGUGGAACCAACUAGGAUCCACAGCGGGACUGAAGAAAACAAAGGCGCUCUAAGGAAAUCACGAGGGGAGGAGGAUGAGGAUUUUCAGAUAUUGGAGUAUCAAGCGCAGAAAGGCAAUGCUGCGGCUAUGUACAAGAUUGGACUGUUCUACUACUUUGGUCUGCGAGGGUUAAGGCAUGAUCACACCAAGGCGUUGCACUAGUUUUCGAAGGCGGUGGAGAAAGGAGAGCCGAGGCAUAAAGUUAAAUACAAUAAACAUUGUUACAGUCGGUCGCCUCCUCUGCCUCUGGGAUUCGCAUAACAUCAAGAAGAAUGAUGAAUAUAUGGGAAUCAGCCUCCUCUUACUAUAUGAACAGAUGUAGUUGGCCAAAUCCUUUCCGUUCAAGGCUCUGAUCUGAACAACUCUGCAGCAACAACUCGACUUGCCGUCCGUUUCCUCACUGACCCGUAAGCCAUGAAUUCAUCUUUAAAUAGUUUUGAUCCUUAUCUCAUUUAGUUCUUUCUUUCAAAUAAUUCCGUUGUGGUGUAAUGGAAUGGAAUUCACCACGGUGAAUCCAACAAUAUUUGGAGGUAAUCUCUAUGACUCUAUCUAAACUCAACACCAGCAACAAAAUUUUACUUUGACAACACCAUUCAUGCUACCAAAGAGUUUACAAACAGCUUUGUGGUGCUGCAGCGGAGGUCUUUCCCGAGUUGAUACCAUGGAAGGAAGAAAAAAAAAGAGUUCGUAUCAAUUGGAGAACUUCACACGUUCAUUGCCAACUCCAGUGAACAGGUAAAACUCACGCUUUCAACAAUCUUUAGUACUCCUAUGUGGCUUCAAAAUAGUAACAAGUAAUGUUAGGACUUUUCUCCCCAUGAAGACAGAAUAAGCUGAUUUUCUCUGUACGAGUCGUCCAGGAAAAUGGCUUGUCGUUUGUAUCUUGCACAGGUUGCAACAGGAAGCUCGCAAAAUCUCUCUGGUGCAACAGAUGUGUUUCUCCUAACGCACCGGGGUCAUCGGCUGUUGAUGACGGAAAGGAAAGUGCAACUUUUGUUGUCUUUGACAGGGAGAUGAUAAAACUCAUCAAGAAAGAGGCAAAGUCUGGCUCCUGCGUAGAUACGUUUUAACUUUUCAGAUUGGUUUUAAAUUUUUUUCCCUUACUCUAAAUGCCCCCACAAACGCCAAGCCUACUACAGAUUAGUGGCAGUGGGAGGAAUGGAGCUACCAAAAUGCCUUGAGGAGCUAGCUGGUAAUGGAUACCUUUUCAGCUACGUGUAACUCCAUAUAAUUUCACCUCCAACCACCACACAUUCACCGUCUCUGCCAUUAGUGACAACCUCUUCUUUGGCCCUCAGGUAGAGGUGUGUGGGAACAGCAACAAAGCUCCAGUCGUGGAUCUCAAAUCUGGACAACCAACAGCAUUUGCCAGCUCCGCUGGUGAUGCGGCGAAGAUAGCACUAGGAAAUGAUGGAGCAAAUCAGCCAGGUUCUGCAGACUGCAGGUAACGACAAAACCCGCAAACGCCCACGUGACUGAUAGUAUCAAGGCUAUCAAACCGUCAACUUCACUUAGCUUUUGUCUCAUUUUAAUUUAUUAUAUCCAUAUAUUUUCCCUACUUUGAACUUUGGUUUUUGGAUUUUCUGAAAAUUUCUCUUAAUUAAAUAAUUAAAGUAACGUUGACGUGUC